GCACAGCUGGGGACGCUGGUGGUGGCCGUGGGGGAGCUGGGGGUUGGGGGGGAGGUCAAAGGGAGCUGAACUCUGUGCUUCUCGCCAUCAUCACAGCCGCUCAGCGGGCCCCUCGCUCUCCUCUUGCUUUUUCUUCUCCUCUCCUGAUUCCUUCCAGGAUGUUCUUUGCCCACUGAGUGAGAUGCGAGGGGCAUCAAGACCGCUCCUUGUCCUUGACUGUGUCCAGGGGCUACCGUUAGUGACUGGUGCCCUUGGUAACCAGGACUUGGUCUCUUGAAGGAGUGAGAAGGAGCAAGAAAGAGGGUGGAAGCCGGCUCUGCGCAAGGCGGGCCUGGUAGAGUCCUCGGCAGGCUGGGCUGGGAGGGAUGGAAAGGAGGGGAUUUGCGGUGCGGUGGCCGUGGCGCUGCAUUGUUUAGGGCAGCAGGGGGCGCCCGCGGCUUCCUCGCGCAGACCGGCCGCAGGAGAUCGGACCCUGGGGAAAUUCCGCCCGCGCGGAGCCAGCCAGCCGCGGGGGCCAGGCCAGGACACUGCGGGCCUCGGCGCCGCUCCGCCCUCGCCAGCUGUCGGGAGCGCGCAGUACCCGCUCCCAGCUGCCGCUCCUGGGCCCCGCAUCCACAGUUCACUCAGUGCCCAGGAAGGCACUGAGUUCCCAUCCGCAAGGCGGACCGUCCUCCCUGGGCUCGUCUUUGCAGUGGGGAGUGUUUACUGCACAAGGGGAGGCAUGGUCACCCCAGGACAGACGUCAGCUCCUGCAGACCCAUCGGGUGCCGCUGUAGGGCGCUUAGCCGCCUUCCCCGCGAGGCUGGAGGGGCCUCGGGAGAGGGAAGACAGCUGCCGCGCUCCCUGGAGCCCUUUUCCUUAGAUAAUGCCUGAAGGAAAAGGAGAGGGGAAAAGUAGAAGCCGGAGGCGUCCUGGGGAUCUUCCCAACCCCAGGACUGAACACACAUCUCCUGUGUUUCCUGCAUUGGCAGGUGUGCUCCCGGUACAUCACCCACUCUUCUUGACCACCUCCAUCAACAAGAGGCCAGUGGGUGUGCUUCCCCAGGUCCUGCUGUCUCCUCUGCUUUUAACUCAGAGCAGCACUGCGAUGGACGUCUCUUCCAGCUGAGAUGGUCAAGGUCAAGACUGUGAGGUGGGGACUUCCCUGAUGGUCCAGUGGUUAAGAAUCUGCCUGUCAAUACAGAGGACACAGGUUCGAUUCCUAGUAUGGGAAGAUUCCACACGCGUCGGGACAACUUAGCGUGUGUGCCACAACUACUGAGCCUGUGCACCCUAGAGGCCAUGCCUCACAACAAGAGAAGUCACCUCAAUGAGAAGCUUGCUCCUCGCAAUUAGAGGAAACCCAUCCACAGCAAUGAAGACUCAGAAAAGCCACGUCUAUAAAGAGUGAGAGAUGGACCUUGGAAAUGGGUAAUGUUCACAACUCAACAAGCAAUGACCAAGUACCCAGCAUGCUGCCAGGCGGUGGUGAUACUGUGA
ensembl:lncRNA